CCUACGGGCGGCAGCAGUGGGGAAUAUUGGACAAUGGGCGAAAGCCUGAUCCAGCCAUGCCGCGUGUGUGAAGAAGGCCUUCGGGUUGUAAAGCACUUUCAGUGGGGAAGAAAGCCUUGGGGCUAAUACCCUCGAGGAAGGACAUCACCCACAGAAGAAGCACCGGCUAACUCCGUGCCAGCAGCCGCGGUAAUACGGAGGGUGCGAGCGUUAAUCGGAAUUACUGGGCGUAAGCGCGCGUAGGCGGUCUGAUAAGCCGGUUGUGAAAGCCCCGGGCUCAACCUGGGAACGGCAUCCGGAACUGUCAGGCUAGAGUGCAGGAGAGGAAGGUAGAAUUCCCGGUGUAGCGGUGAAAUGCGUAGAGAUCGGGAGGAAUACCAGUGGCGAAGGCGGCCUUCUGGACUGACACUGACGCUGAGGUGCGAAAGCGUGGGUAGCAAACAGGAUUAGAUACCCUUGUAGU
rnacentral:rRNA from 1 species